AUGUUGCCAUGGUGAAUGCACCAGGGAAAUAUUGUUCUGCCUUGCUGGUAGAUAUCAGCACAGCCUGGUGUUGAGUUCUCCAAUGUGCUGGCAGGAGACAUUCAUCAACUUUAGUGGGUUGUACAGUCAGUGCUUGAGUCAUUGGCAUGAUCAAGUAAUAUACAUGUACAGUUGCCACUCUGUUCUGAUGUGAAUAACCUGUUACUCCAGGCUGUUUCUGCCAUCAGGACCUUGCUGCGGUGUAGACACG